rnacentral:rRNA from 1 species
AUUGAACGCUGGCGGCAUGCUUUACACAUGCAAGUCGAACGGUAACAGGCCGCAAGGUGCUGACGAGUGGCGAACGGGUGAGUAAUGCAUCGGAACGUGCCCAGUCGUGGUGGAUAACUACUCGCAAGAGUAGCUAAUACCGCAUACGAUCUAUGGAUGAAAGCGGGGGACCGUAAGGCCUCGCGCGAUUGGAGCGGCCGAUGUCAGAUUAGGUAGUUGGUGGGGUAAAGGCUCACCAAGCCAACGAUCUGUAGCUGGUCUGAGAGGACGACCAGCCACACUGGAACUGAGACACGGCCCAGACUCCUACGGGAGGCAGCAGUGGGGAAUUUUGGACAAUGGGCGCAAGCCUGAUCCAGCAAUGCCGCGUGCAGGAAGAAGGCCUUCGGGUUGUAAACUGCUUUUGUACGGAACGAAACGGCUCUGGUUAAUACCCGGGGCUAAUGACGGUACCGUAAGAAUAAGCACCGGCUAACUACGUG